GUAAGGCUGAGUAUUAGGCAAAUCCGGUACUCGUUAAGGCUGAGCUGUGAUGGGGAGAAGACAUUGUGUCUUCGAGUCGUUGAUUUCACACUGCCGAGAAAAGCCUCUAGAUAGAAAAUAGGUGCCCGUACCGCAAACCGACACAGGUAGUCAAGAUGAGAAUUCUAAGGUGAGCGAGCGAACUCUCGUUAAGGAACUCGGCAAAAUGACCCCGUAACUUCGGGAGAAGGGGUGCUCUUUAGGGUUAACGCCCAGAAGAGCCGCAGUGAAUAGGCCCAAGCGACUGUUUAUCAAAAACACAGGUCUCUGCUAAACCGUAAGGUGAUGUAUAGGGGCUGACGCCUGCCCGGUGCUGGAAGGUUAAGAGGAGUGGUUAGCUUCUGCGAAGCUACGAAUCGAAGCCCCAGUAAACGGCGGCCGUAACUAUAACGGUCCUAAGGUAGCGAAAUUCCUUGUCGGGUAAGUUCCGACCCGCACGAAAGGCGUAACGAUUUGGGCACUGUCUCAACGAGAGACUCGGUGAAAUCAUAGUACCUGUGAAGAUGCAGGUUACCCGCGACAGGACGGAAAGACCCCGUGGAGCUUUACUGUAGCCUGAUAUUGAAAUUCGGCACAGCUUGUACAGGAUAGGUA
rnacentral:rRNA from 1 species